rnacentral:rRNA from 1 species
GAUGAACGCUGGCGGCGUGCCUAAUACAUGCAAGUCGAGCGAACGGACGAGAAGCUUGCUUCUCUGAUGUUAGCGGCGGACGGGUGAGUAACACGUGGAUAACCUACCUAUAAGACUGGGAUAACUUCGGGAAACCGGAGCUAAUACCGGAUAAUAUUUUGAACCGCAUGGUUCAAAAGUGAAAGACGGUCUUGCUGUCACUUAUAGAUGGAUCCGCGCUGCAUUAGCCAGUUGGUAAGGUAACGGCUUACCAAGGCAACGAUGCAUAGCCGACCUGAGAGGGUGAUCGGCCACACUGGAACUGAGACACGGUCCAGACUCCUACGGGAGGCAGCAGUAGGGAAUCUUCCGCAAUGGGCGAAAGCCUGACGGAGCAACGCCGCGUGAGUGAUGAAGGUCUUCGGAUCGUAAAACUCUGUUAUUAGGGAAGAACAUAUGUGUAAGUAACUGUGCACAUCUUGACGGUACCUAAGCAGAAAGCCACGGCUAACUACGU